rnacentral:rRNA from 1 species
CCUACGGGUGGCAGCAGUGAGGAAUAUUGGUCAAUGGACGAGAGUCUGAACCAGCCAAGUAGCGUGAAGGAUGACUGCCCUAUGGGUUGUAAACUUCUUUUAUAUGGGAAUAAAACGUUCCACGUGUGGGAUUUUGUAUGUACCAUAUGAAUAAGGAUCGGCUAACUCCGUGCCAGCAGCCGCGGUAAUACGGAGGAUCCGAGCGUUCUCCGGAUUUAUUGGGUUUAAAGGGAGCGUAGGUGGAGUGUUAAGUCAGUUGUGAAAGUUUGCGGCUCAACCGUAAAAUUGCAGUUGAAACUGGCAGUCUUGAGUACAGUAGAGGUGGGCGGAAUUCGUGGUGUAGCGGUGAAAUGCUUAGAUAUCACGAAGAACUCCGAUUGCGAAGGCAGUUCACUGGACUGCAACUGACACUGAGGCUCGAAAGUGUGGGUAUCAAACAGGAUUAGAUACCCGAGUAGUC